UACAGAGGGUGCAAGCGUUAAUCGGAAUUACUGGGCGUAAAGCGUGCGUAGACGGUUACAUAAGUCGGGUGUGAAAGCCCCCGGCUCAACUGGGGAGGGUCACGCGAUACUGAUCGACUCGAAGGCAGGAGAGGGAAGUGGAAUUCCCGGUGUAGUGGUGAAAUGCGUAGAUAUCGGGAGGAACACCAGUGGCGAAGGCGACUUCCUGGCCUGUUCUUGACGCUGAGGCGCGAAAGCUAGGGGAGCAAACGGG
rnacentral:rRNA from 1 species